CCUACGGGAGGCUGCAGUGGGGAAUAUUGGACAAUGGGGGCAACCCUGAUCCAGCCAUGCCGCGUGUGUGAAGAAGGCCCUCGGGUUGUAAAGCACUUUCAGUGAGGAAGAACGCCUGGUGGUUAAUACCCAUCAGGAAAGACAUCACUCACAGAAGAAGCACCGGCUAACUCCGUGCCAGCAGCCGCGGUAAUACGGAGGGUGCGAGCGUUAAUCGGAAUUACUGGGCGUAAAGCGCGCGUAGGUGGCUUGAUAAGCCGGAUGUGAAAGCCCCGGGCUCAACCUGGGAACGGCAUCCGGAACUGUCAAGCUAGAGUGCAGGAGAGGAAGGUAGAAUUCCCGGUGUAGCGGUGAAAUGCGUAGAGAUCGGGAGGAAUACCAGUGGCGAAGGCGGCCUUCUGGACUGACACUGACACUGAGGUGCGAAAGCGUGGGUAGCAAACAGGAUUAGAUACCCCUGUAGUC
rnacentral:rRNA from 1 species